rnacentral:rRNA from 1 species
UACGUAGGUGGCAAGCGUUGUCCGGAUUUACUGGGCGUAAAGAGCGCGCAGGCGGUCAGAUAAGUCGAAUGUGAAAGCCCCCGGCUUAACUGGGGAGGGUCAUUCGAUACUGUUCGACUCGAAGGCAGGAGAGGGAAGCGGAAUUCCCGGUGUAGUGGUGAAAUGCGUAGAUAUCGGGAGGAACACCAGUGGCGAAGGCGGCUUCCUGGCCUGUUCUUGACGCUGAGGCGCGAAAGCUAGGGGAGCAAACGGG